AGUAGGUCAAAUUUUAAAUUUUGGUUGGUUAUAUAAGACCACCUACCUUCCUUUCCCUCCUCAUUUUCACCCAUUUUAAAUCAAGAGUUUCCCCUCAAAAUUCCCCAUCCUUUUGAUUUUUUUUAGUAUCCAAAUGCCUUUUCUUCUUCAAUUUCAAAAGAAAUCCAUUCUUUCUCUUUUAAUUUUCUAUUAACAUUUUGCUCGUUUUUGCUCAAAUUGAUCAAAUUUCAUGGAGAUCUUCAAAUUAAAGCCUCUAAAUGCAAAGGUGCGUCCAUGAGCAAGGAUAAGGGCAAGCAGAAGGUGAUGUAGCUUCAGGAAUCAACAACGAAUUGCAAGUGAGUGUGCUUGCAUAUCGCAUUUAAACACCAGUUCGCGUGUUCAAGAAAGUCCAAGAUAGGCAUGCGAACCUUGUUAUAUUUUUAUGUGAGCCCUGAUUUGUGACUUGCGAACCUUGAUAUCAAGUGUGAGUGCUAUGUAUAUUGUGUGCAAGCCUAUCCGAUAUGCGAGAUAUUGAUAUGUACGAUCCCUAAGUGACAUGCGAACCCCAUACAUUGUGUGCAAACUUGUAUGAUUUAUGUGAACCCCUUGCAUGUGAUAUCCCUAUCGCAUAUUAUGCGAACCUUUACAAUUGUGCGAGCUUAUAUGUGUGCGAGGCUUUGUAUUAUGCGAGCCUAUAUACAGUGCGAGCUCCAUGUUGUGUGCGAGCCAUAUACCUGAAUAUAUGCGAACCCAUAUAUGUAUUGGGAGCCCUAUUGUAAUGUGAGUGGUGAAUGUGUUAAAAAAAGGAUAUAUUGGCAUUGUGAACA